rnacentral:tRNA from 1 species
GCCCGAGUGGCGGAAUGGUAGACGCAGCGGACUCAAAAUCCGCCGAUGGCAACAUCAUGUCGGUUCGAGUCCGACCUCGGGCA